GUCUCUGGCUGGAGAUCCCUCUCUUGUGGAGUUUUCCCUGCAAGCCUAGAUCUUCAGGGAUGGGCAUCUUCUUGAAUCUCUCAUUUUCCUGAACAAGUGCAAUGAUGAGAGAUCUUGUUGGACACAGAAGAGAAGAGAGACAAUAUUUGUCUGACUAGGCUGGGGAUUUUCAUUAUAUACAAGAGGUUGAAGAUGGAGGAGAGAAUUUCACCUGGAGCUCAGAUGACCGCAUUACUGAAGACAAUAAUUAUAUAUGUGUGUUUAUAUAUAUAUAUCAUACAUAUACAAAGAGAGAGAGUAUACAUUUCAACAUUUUUCACAGAAUUUAUGAAAACAUCACCAAGGAAAGAUUUCUAUUCUGGGACAUGGAACACCUUUGUUUGUACAAACACUGGUAGGAAUGGUCAUUUUGGUCAAAGCCCUGGGCUUUGUGAUCUUUAUUUGCUGCUCUCAAUUUUCUUGCUUAUUUUCACCUGUUCUUAUAACCUCCCAUGUGAUGUUCAGUUGAUUCUGUCAAGUCAAGCUCUUGUUUUUCAGAUCUUUGAAACACUCAACAUCAGUAAGUGGAUAGGGAAUGUAAUCUCUCUCCUGGGUUAAAUGGGAA
ensembl:lncRNA